GGAAGUUGCAGGCAGGGGAGAAGGGGCUGGAAGAAGCUCCCUGCUCUGAAGGUUUCCUUGGCUAAUGGUCUGGCAAGGAGUGGACUUUGAGGUCCUGAUCUCAAAAUCGUCAUGCAAUUUUUUGGAAUUUGUUUACUGCAGAGUUUUGAUUCAUUCACCUGGUGAAUGACCAGUCUACAUGGCUCAAGUUAAAGCUGUAGCAAGGAGACAGAGGAAGAAGCAUCUGCGGUGGGUCGGGAAGGCAGAGCGAGUGAGCAAUGCAGCUGUGGCUAGUUCUGCACUGGCCUGCUCCCCCAAUCUCUGCCCCAUGGGAUUUUAUAAUUUGGCAGUUGGAAAAAAAAGCAACAAAACACACACAUAAACAAACAAAUAAUAAUUAAAAAUGCAGCCUGAAACUUG